GAUGAACGCUGGCGGCGUGCCUAACACAUGCAAGUCGAACGGACUUAUAACGAAACCUAGUGAAUUAUAAGUUAGUGGCGGACGGGUGAGUAACGCGUGGAAAACCUGCCGUAUACUGGGGGAUAACACUUAGAAAUAGGUGCUAAUACCGCAUAAGCGCACAGCUUCGCAUGAAGCAGUGUGAAAAACUCCGGUGGUAUACGAUGGUUCCGCGUCUGAUUAGCUAGUUGGUGAGGUAAAAGCCCACCAAGGCGACGAUCAGUAGCCGGCCUGAGAGGGUGAACGGCCACAUUGGGACUGAGACACGGCCCAG
rnacentral:rRNA from 1 species